rnacentral:rRNA from 1 species
GACGAACGCUGGCGGCGUGCUUAACACAUGCAAGUCGAACGAAGUGGCGAACGGGUGAGUAACGCGUAAUCAACCUGCCCUUCAGGGGGGGACAACAGUUGGAAACGACUGCUAAUACCGCAUAAUGAAGGAGGGGAUUGCGUCUGAUUAGCUGGUUGGAGGGGGAACGGCCCACCAAGGCGAUGAUCAGUAGCCGGGCUGAGAGGAUGAACGUGCACAUGGGGACUGAGACACGGCCCAGACUCCUACGGGAGGCAGCAGUGGGGAAUCUUCCGAAAUUGACGAAAGUCUGACGGAGCAACGCCGCGUGAGUGAUGACGGCCUUCGGGUUGUAAAGCUCUGUUAAUCGGGACGCGGUACCGGAAUAGAAAGCCACGGCUAACUACGUGCCAGCAGCCGCGGUAAUAC